AGUCUCUCCCACACUUCAUCUUCUUCAAAAUGAGACUGACUCACUUCUCCAAUUCCUCAGCAACUAAUCACAUAAAUACUGGCAGGAGGAGUCACCACCAGGAAGCGGAGAAAUUCCUCUAGCACAGCAUGGAGAUGGAAAUCUUGGGGGACUUCUGCGUUUUAGCUUCCUCGUCUCUAGAUCAACUCAGCUUCUCCAGCAUUCUCUGAGGUUUCAUGGGUGAGAAAUCUGAGAACAAUGUGACUCUGUUGAUUCUCUGCUUGGAGUCUCACAAGCUGAAAUCUACAUCUUCUGGAGGCUCUAGAGGAGACUGGUCCUGGCUUCAUGGAAAGUUUUUGGAAAUAUUUUUUCUUUGUAGUUGUAGGACUGAGCUGGUUCUCUCUUUGCUGUCUGUGAGUCAAACAUCAUCCUGAGCCUCUAGAAAUUGCCUCCAUUCCCUAACAGACCCUUACUAAGCCAGAAAAAGCCUGCUUGAUCUUACUCAUACUUUGAAUCUCUUCAAACAGAGCUUCUUGCUUCCAA